CAAGCGCACGCGCCGGAGAAAGGCUCCGGGGCUGACACGACCCCGCCCGCCUAGUGGUCUCCCUAGCGGCAGAGGUGCAGCUGCGGAUGCCUGGGAGGCUUAGGGUCGCCCUGAAGUAUGCCCACGUGUGAUGCCACAUUCCUCCAGCCCUCCAUUUAUAGAGUUGUCCGAAGGAAAUGCGACCCUAACCUUGGGCACAACGAAGGCGAUAUCCAGUCUUCUGGCUCCGCUUCCGCCUGUCCAUUUGCAGGAAUUUGAUUCUGAGAUUUGGGGAUAGAGGUUUGGAGUUUGGUUCUGAAGAUUGCGCUAUGGCUGAGGGAGGGUCUGCGCGCAUAUUUGUACCGGAAGAAAAGAAGGGCCCACGGUAGUACGUGUACUUAACUGGGCAGCGGGAACUGAAUCCCCAACGGUUUGAACACACCAACCUGCCUCUCGUGGUGCUGCUGGAGAGGCCCAGGCUGGAGACGUGGCCGAUUCUUAACCGCGGAAGAGUAUGAAAAGAUCCAGAGGUGACUCUACUGCGCCGCUAAAGAACCACCGAGCUACAUGGAGCUUCAGAGAGACUAAAAAUUACACAAAGAAGGGCACAGGAGAUGGGAGCAGAAACUCUUGUGCCACCCAUGGCUCCCAGGCAGUGCCCCCUGCUUGGGAGGAAGAAGAUUUGCUUGCUGGGCAAAUCCUGGCCAUCUGUGCCACUGGAAGUGCUGGCAGAAGAAUGAAGCACCCUGAAACAACAAGAAGGGGGAAUGGCCUUUCUUCCCUGGUUUUGUGAAUUAUUUAUCUUGAACCCCUAAAUAGAACUGAUAAAGCAACUGCCCUGUCCUCACAAGCCUCCCCUCUUUGGCUGAGGGCUUCCUUCAGAAAACACACUUUUCAUGCUCAGUUUGUUUUAGGCUGUUGCAGCUGCUAACAAAACACCUUAGACCAGGUAAUUGAUAAACAGCACAGCAUUUGUUGCUCCCAGUUCCAAAGGCUGGAAAAUCCAAGAACAAAGUGCCACUAGCUUAAAGGUCUUUUGAGGGGCCCCUUCUACACCUACCCACAGCUUGGAAGGGACAAAAGGAACUAACAAGCUCUCUCAAGCCUCUUGUGGGCACUAAUCCCUUUGUGAAGUGCUGUCCUCGUGACCUUCUGGUCUAAAAACAAAAGCAAAGCAACAACACUUCAAUACCAUAACCUUGAGGGUUAGAUUUCAAAAAGAAUUUUGGAAUUUCACGCAUUCAGCGCAUCCUAGACCCAUUUCUUUUACGGUUCAAAAUGAUAUUUCUAGAGCACCUCGGCACCCAAAGUCUUCCUUUCUUCUCCAUCACCCUCUGUUGAACUCAAAACUGGGACUGGAAGAAAGGCAGAGGCACGGGACAGCCUACAGAAUAGUGUUAUCUGAUAUUGCACCAACCAGGAUCUCCACCAGGCCUGGACACUUAGAAGAAACAGGACAGCGUCCUGGAAAUCCUGAUCCGAUCCGCAGACUCAGGGUAGAGCUCGCGUUUGUUCCUUUUCAACAGAUUUCCAACAGCUUCUGAAAAGACAGUCUCAAAGUGGGCUAUGGGGCUCCGCUUCCAAAAGAACUUGAGAGAAGGGAGAGGCCCCUAGGUCCCAGCUGGUGGGGCAGAGCAGAGCCAUAGCCCCUCCGGAGCUGGCGCCCACUGCCUGCGUCCUCAGACUCCCUCCGCAGGUGCGAGCGGGCUGGUGCAUGCCCUGCUGAGGCCCGCGCGCAGGCGGGGUGGCCAGCCUGGGGUCACACUCCAACUUCCUGCAGCCUGUUGUGGGCUCUGGACAGGUGUGGUGGAACCUCACACAGCUGUGUUCAGGAGCACUUCUGAGGUGCACAGGCUAAUGGCUGUCUCUCAGUUCGCUUUGUGUUUCUACCUGUGGCCCCCAAACCCCUGAGGUACUGUGUAGGGGAUCUCCUGCCUGGGGAGUCUGGGAGAUGAACAUUCCAGAAUGCUCAGACUCCCCUGUGGCUGCUUUUACUUUCCCAGCUUUCACUUCUCAGGAUCCUGCUCUUCCCCCUGAGAGACUCCUGGCAGAAAAGGGAGCAGCCAGUUUAUUUCUGAAAGAACCUCUUUGUUCAACAAAAGGAACUGACCCCAGUUUCCUGCUCUUUGGGAGCUGAUCCGGGCAGGUGGAGGAUGGCCUUGUCAGGGCUCUCUCCUCUCCACUGUUCUGCACCAUCCCUCACUCACUUGGAUCCUUCAGGCUUCCUCUGGCUCAUUUCUCUAAUGGGCACUGUGAUGACUGACAGGUAUUACAGCAGAGGCCUGGCCACAGCAGUGGGAGAAGGCUGACACCCAGGACGCCAUACCCUUGUCUGUUUUGUUACUCAUAGUUGUUCACUUCUGUCUCUUCUGCACACAAAAUGCCUCCCUGAGGGAGAGUACUCCAAAGUCCCAUCUAAUCUGAGGAUCAUGAUUAAAGUCCUCGAUGAUGUGAUAGUAUCUGCAUUGAAUCCAGAUGUUUCUCCCCUGGAUCAGGAGCCCUCUUAAUAAAAGGAUAAGCUAUCUGAAUGAGUAUUUCCAACACAUUAACAAGGGCGACAUGAAGACCACAAUGAACACUUGGUCAGAAAGGGGAAGCAUGGGAGGAUCCCAGCAGCUUAGAACCACAGAGAUGAAAUUCCACUGGGCAGGUGCUGGCAGGCCUCUAAUCCUGAAGGGAAAGUAUCUGGGUUGUGACCGCUUCUCCUCUGGGUGGCGCUUCCAGCUGGUGAUUCUCCUGGGCUGCUGGCCGUGCCCUCAGAAAGUCUCUUUGGCAGUAUUCUCCAUAGUCACAUCUCACAUGUGAAGAUGACACUGGACAACAAGCUCUCUUGGGACUAAGCAGUUAUUCAUCCUGCUUGAGCAGGGUGAGGGCCCAGGGAUGGUUUCGGGUUAUGAAUACCUGAUGCAUCUCUCAGCACCUUCAGCAGGUUUUUAGGUAUUUGUUUCCAGUGGGCUUACGGUGGCAGUAUCUUCACUCACAGUUCUUUCUAAAUAUGCCUGUCUUUUGGACUUAAUUGAGGAGCUUCUUGGGUUUCCCCCAGGAAGACAUGCUUUUUUUCUUUUUCACUCUGAGCAAUUUGUUCCCACUGAGGAUUUCCUGGGAGCCAUCUGCAAUGACUCAGAGGCUGAAAGGAAAUGUUUGACAGCCACACCAUGAGAUGGCCCUUCAGAUUAGGCUUUUUAUUAUCCUUUUGCAUGCAAAAGCCACUGUGUGUAUUAUCUUUGGCCAACUGGGAAGGAAAAUUGGUUAAGUCUCCCACCCUAUAAGUCCUCAUAUUUCUGGAUACUCUCCGGUUUGUUUUACAUACCAGGACGCUCUUGGAGCUCCUAUUUUUCCCUAUAAUACUUUGUCAAACAUAACCAGUAACAGCAGCUCUUACUACUAAUUUUGUUUCCAGCCUCUGCUUGUAACAUCACAGGCUCAUACUUACAUCAAGUUAUUGAUGUCAUGGUUUUACCAA